rnacentral:tRNA from 4 species
GCCCCCGUGGCUCAGCGGACAGAGCACUGGAUUACGAAUCCAGGGGUCGCGCGUUCGAAUCGCGCCGGGGGCA